CCUACGGGAGGCAGCAGUGGGGAAUAUUGGACAAUGGGGGGAACCCUGAUCCAGCCAUGCCGCGUGUGUGAAGAAGGCCCUCGGGUUGUAAAGCACUUUCAGUGAGGAAGAACGCCUGGUGGUUAAUACCCAUCAGGAAAGACAUCACUCACAGAAGAAGCACCGGCUAACUCCGUGCCAGCAGCCGCGGUAAUACGGAGGGUGCGAGCGUUAAUCGGAAUUACUGGGCGUAAAGCGCGCGUAGGUGGCUUGAUAAGCCGGUUGUGAAAGCCCCGGGCUCAACCUGGGAACGGCAUCCGGAACUGUCAAGCUAGAGUGAAGGAGAGGAAGGUAGAAUUCCCGGUGUAGCGGUGAAAUGCGUAGAGAUCGGGAGGAAUACCAGUGGCGAAGGCGGCCUUCUGGACUGACACUGACACUGAGGUGCGAAAGCGUGGGUAGCAAACAGGAUUAGAUACCCUUGUAGUC
rnacentral:rRNA from 1 species